ACGCACGCUGGCGGCGUGCUUAACCCAUGCCAGUCGUACGGUAAGGCCCUUUCGGGGGUACACGAGUGGCGAACGGGUGAGUAACACGUGAGUAACCUGCCCACAACUUUGGGAUAACGCUAGGAAACUGGUGCUAAUACUGGAUAUGUGCUCCUGCUGCAUGGUGGGGGUUGGAAAGCUCCGGCGGUUGUGGAUGGACUCGCGGCCUAUCAGCUUGUUGGUGGGGUAGUGGCCUACCAAGGCGGCGACGGGUAGCCGGCCUGAGAGGGUGACCGGCCACAUUGGGACUGAGAUACGGCCCAGACUCCUACGGGAGGCAGCAGUGGGGAAUAUUGCACAAUGGGCGCAAGCCUGAUGCAGCAACGCCGCGUGCGGGAUGACGGCCUUCGGGUUGUAAACCGCUUUCAGCAGGGACGAAGCUUUUUGUGACGGUACCUGCAGAAGAAGCACCGGCUAACUACGUG
rnacentral:rRNA from 1 species